rnacentral:lncRNA from 1 species
UCCCAUAUAGCUUGAUCUUUAAAAUAAAAAAGACCUAGGCUUUUGAACCCUAAGAAGAAGGAGGUCAGCCGUCACCUAACCCCCCAUCUUCACCUUAGAGCCAUCUCACCUCCUUUCAUAGAUCCAGCCACCACACCAACCUUCUCUGCCUAUCGCCGCUGCGCCACCACUAAAGAAAAAAAGGCAGUCACUCCACCCUCAACAAAAACUCACCGAAAACCUAGCACACCCCACCCUUCUUGAUAUCCCAACGAUCCCACUCUCCCUUUCACUUUGAGAGAACACAACCAAUCUCUCAUCUCCCAAAAUUGAAAGAAACGGCAAAAAACAGAAGGGGAAGGGGAUUUGGAAAAUGAAACAGAGAAGAGAACAGACUACCCUAGAGCUAACAGCCGCACUCCCUAAAGUUUGAGACUCUAAUCUCUCUAUUUCUCACGUCUCAUCAGUGACUUCCAUACCCCUAUUCUCAUUUCCCCCAUAUCUCUCUCCCUUUCCGUAGCUACUGUCGUCGCCAUCAUUUAAGCCAUGGUCACCGAAAAUCUGUCGCUCGCCUCAUUUUGGUCAAGUUAAAGAGGUCGAAUUCGAUUUCGCUAGCGAGUUUCAGUUCGUUGGGCUUGGUAGAGUUUUUUUAUUCUCGAUUCAGUGUGAAUUCAUUCCAAUUUUUCAGAAAAAAAUUAUCAUUAAAGGUCUAAUUCUCUUUUGUUUUUUGUGCAUUUUUAUGUUAUAACUUUGUUGUUGAUUGCUUGACUUUGCACAUUGAUUUUGCGGCUGAUAUUAUAAAUUGUAUGUUAGUAUGUUCUUGGCAGAAUAGUUGUUAUGCUUUGAAUCACUUAUUCUUUAGUUGAGAGCACAAGAAAUGAAUUGGAUUUGGGUUAUAGGUUUAGGUAAAAAGUUGAAAUUGAAGAUGAUGCUAUCUUGAAGACAUGGAAGUAAUUUGAACUUAAUAAUGAUUUUGAUUAAUUUUCUUGUUUGAUUUUAUUCUAUUAAUGGUCAUGGGAUCGGGACUAAAAGGAGCAGAAUUGAAAUUUGAAUAUUACAUGUUCACUACUUUAUUAUUUUAUUUUGACCGCUAGUAGUAUGCUUAGGCCGACUACACUUGGGUAGACGACUUUUAGGUCUCGUCUUUUAUUUCAUUCGAGCUGAGGGGUUGUUCCUUUUAGUCUAUAUUCAGGGGGUUCCCCCGUAGAUUUUGUAUAUAUUAUUAUCCGGGGUAUGUGUGACGACCCGGCCAGUCGUCUCAUGAGUUACCGCUCUGUUUCCUCCAUUUUAGCUUCUUUAUACUUCGUUAUCCGUGUUUUUGUGGUAUCGGGUUGGGCGGAUCGAGUCCGGAAUGAGUUUGGUGAAGUUUGAGACACUUAAUCUCAUUUAAGAAGGCUUAAGUUGGAAAAGUUAAUCGGAUGUUGACUUAUGUGUUAGAAGGCUCGGAACUAAGUUCCUAUGGUUCAGUUAGCUUCGGGAGGUGAUUUGUGACUUAGGAGCACGAUCGAAAUGGGUUUUGGAGUAGUAGAGAAGAUUUAGGCUUAAAUUGGCGAAGUUGAUAUUUUGGCGAUUCCGGUUGAUAGGCAAGAUUUUGAUAUAGGGGUCAGAAUGGAAUUCCGAGAGUGACAGUAGCUUCGUUGUGUCAUUUGGGAUCUGUGUGCAAAAUUUUAGGUCAUUCGGACGAGAUUUGAUAGACUUUUUGAUCAAAAGCAUAAUUUAAGAGUUCUUAGACUUGAAUCCUAUGUUAAAUUGGUAAUUAAUGUUGUUGUGAGCGUUCCGAAGUUUUGAACAAGUUUGAACGAUGUCAUGGGAUGUGUUGGUACAAUUGGUUUGAAGUUCCGGGUAGGUUCCGGGAUAUUUUAGGCCGAAAAUCAUAGCUGUAGCAGGUCCAGAAGGGUUGCAGGCCUCGGAACCCACCCGCGCGGUCCACACAAAAAGAAGUGCGACCACGGUAUGUGCUGUGCGAACCGCACAAAAUGAAGUGCGGCCGCGGUAGGUGCUGUGCGGACUGCACAAAAUGCUGUGUGGCCGUAGUGGGGAACAUUUCACUGGUCCUACUUCAGAAGCUCAUAUCUUUUGAUCUACAAAGAAUUUUGAGAUGAUUCAAAAACAAAAGUUAUGGCAAAAAUACUAGAGCCUGUCACUACAGAGGAAAGCCUGUGCGGCCGCGGUCGUUUUUGUACGGACCGCACUGGUUUUGUGUGGACCGCGGUCGAUUUUGUGCGGUCCGCGGAGGGAAAAUCUGUGGGGUACUCUAUAAAUACGAGGUUUUGGGUUUUAUUUGANNNNNNNNNNNNNNNNNNNNNNNNNNNNNNNNNNNNNNNNNNNNNNNNNNNNNNNNNNNNNNNNNNNNNNNNNNNNNNNNNNNNNNNNNNNNNNNNNNNNNNNNNNNNNNNNNNNNNNNNNNNNNNNNNNNNNNNNNNNNNNNNNNNNNNNNNNNNNNNNNNNNNNNNCAAGAAAUUAAUCGGGGUAAGUGAUUCUAACUCAGAUUUGGCUAGAGUACAUGAAUCUAUCAUUGAAUUCAUCAUUUAAUUGGUGAUUUGGGAUGGAAGUUGGGAAGAAAAUUGUGAAAUCUUUCAAAAAUGUAAAAUGAUGAUUUGAAGGACCAAAUGAUAUCGGAAUUGGAUAAUUUUUGUAUGGUUAGACUCGUGAGAGUGUAAGGAUUCUAGUUUUGUGAAUUUUGUCAAAUUUUGAGAUGUGGCCCCGGGGGUCGGGUUUGACUAAUUUCUAGAAUUUUGUGGUAAUUCGAUUGUUUUAGCUUGGGCUUUAUUCCUUUAGCAUAUUGUGAUGUAUUCUUCUGAUUUUGGAUAGAUUCGACGCGCGUGGAUGCCGAUUCGAGGGGCAAUGGCGUCGCAAUUUAGAAAUUUAGCCGGUUCAAGGUGAGUAAUGAUUGUAAAUAAUGCUCUGAGGGUUUGAAACUCUGGAUUGCACAUCGUAGUGUUAUAUUGAGGCGAGGCACACGCUUGAUGACGAGCGUGGGUUCAUGUACUAUUGGGGAUUGUGAUUUGGUCCAUCCCGACUGAUGAUUUUACCGCGUAUUUGAUUAAAAUUUAUAUGUUAUCAUCAUGAUUUGGGCUGACUGCCAUAUUUGGGCUUCGUGCUAACUAUUUGAACCCUUUGGGGAUUUUUAGUACUAUUUCCUCACUGUUUUGACUUAUUAAUUGAACUCAGUCAUGUUAUUUUCCACUAUUUUAGCACUCAGCCAUUUUUACUCCGUUUUGAGACUUAAAUGAUAUUUUAAAAGAUUUUUUGGUCUGAGAAAUAAUGUUUUACUAAUGCCCGAGGGGCUUGCGAGUAUUUUUGACUAAGUAAGGCCGAUGGCCUAGUUGUGAGGAAACACUGAUACUGAUUUGAGGCCGAGGGCCUGAGAUAUGUACGCCACGAGGUGGCUUGUUGAUAUUGUUUAUGAGGCCGAGGGCCUGAGAUAUAUACGCCACGAGGUGGCUUGAUUGAUAUGAGGCCGAGGGCCUAGAUUUGAUGUCACGAGAUGACUUGAUAUUGCACUUGGGCCGUAAGGGGCCCCUCCCAGAGUCUGUACACCCCUAUUGAGCGCGGAUACCCAUUGAUGUGAGAUUGAGCCCGAGGGGCUGGUACUGUUCUGAGAUGUUGCCCGAGGGGCGGUUUUUUUGUUGAUACUGUGCCCGAGGGGCGAACUUUUACUUGUUAUUUACCUGUUAAUUACUUGUUUACCUACUGAAAAAGGGAUUUACUUGAUUCUUCACUGAUUUACUAAUUUUAAGUGAUUUUAUUACUUCGGUAUAGAAUGCUUUGUGUUUUACGUAUUUUCUUACUUUCAGCCAUUAUUUAUAUUUAUUACUCACUGGGUCGGAGUACUCACAUUACUCCCUGCACCUUGUGUGCAGAUUCAAGCGUAGCAGGUCCCGCUCUUGAGUGCUUAUCCUUCUAGUCCAGGCAAUGUUUCGGAGACUGCAAGGUAGCUGUUGGCGUCCGCAGCCCCAGUGUCUCCCUUAUCUCAUUAUUUCUAUGUUUUUCAAGCAGUUGUAUCAGAUAUCACAUUUAGUAGACUUGUAUUAGGAUCCUUAGUUGCUCAUGACUUGUGACAUCCCGGUUAGGGCUGUGUCGGUUGGGUUUUCGUUUUGUUAUCUCUAUUUCCGCUAAAUAUUUCUAUUAAAUCAUGUUUAAAGUAUCUUUAUGUUAUUUAACUGCUUAAAAUGG